rnacentral:rRNA from 1 species
CUGACUGCUAUCGGAUUGAUACUAAGCCAUGCGAGUCAUUGUAGCAAUUCAAGGCAUACGGCUCAGUAACGCGUAGUCAACCUACCCUAUGGACGGGAAUAACCUCGGGAAACUGAGAAUAAUGCCCGAUAGAACAUUAUGCCUGGAAUGGUUUAUGUUCCAAAUAAUUUAUUGCCGUAGGAUGGGACUGCGGCCUAUCAGUUUGUUGGUGAGGUAAUGGCCCACCAAGACUAUUACAGGUACGGGCUCUGAGAGGAGUGGCCCGGAGAUGGGUACUGAGACACGGACCCAGGCCCUAUGGGGCGCAGCAGGCGAGAAAACUUUGCAAUGUGCGAAAGCACGACAAGGUUAAUCCGAGUGGUUUCUGCUAAAGGAACCUUUUGUUAGUCCUAGAAACACUAACGAAUAAGGGGUGGGCGAGUUCUGGUGUCAGCCGCCGCGGUAAAACCAGCACCUCAAGUGGUCAGGAUGAUUAUUGGGCCUAAAGCAUCCGUAGCCUGCUCUGUAAGUUUUCGGUUAAAUCUGUACGCUCAACGUACAGGCUGCCGGGAAUACUGCAGAGCUAGGGAGUGGGAGAGGUAGACGGUACUCGGGAGGAAGUGGUAAAAUGCUUUGAUCUCUCGAUGACCACCUGUGGCGAAGGCGGUCUACCAGAACACGUCCGACGGUGAGGGAUGAAAGCUGGGGGAGCAAACCGGAUUAGAUACCCGGGUAGUCCCAGCUGUAAACUAUGUAAACUCAGUGAUGCAUUGGCUUGUGGCCAAUGCAGUGUUGCAGGGAAGCCGUUAAGUUUACCGCCUGGGAAGUGCGUACGCAAGUAUGAAACUUAAAGGAAUUGGCGGGGGAGCACCACAA